AGGGAAUAUUGGACAAUGGGCGCAAGCCUGAUCCAGCCAUGCCGCGUGAGUGAAGAAGGCCCUCGGGUUGUAAAGCUCUUUUGUCCGGAAAGAAAAGCGCCGGGUUAAUACCCUGGUGUCCUGACGGUACCGGAAGAAUAAGCACCGGCUAACUUCGUGCCAGCAGCCGCGGUAAUACGAAGGGUGCAAGCGUUACUCGGAAUUACUGGGCGUAAAGCGUGCGUAGGUGGUUUGUUAAGUCUGAUGUGAAAGCCCUGGGCUCAACCUGGGAAUUGCAUUGGAUACUGGCAGGCUAGAGUGCGGUAGAGGGUAGUGGAAUUCCCGGUGUAGCAGUGAAAUGCGUAGAGAUCGGGAGGAACAUCUGUGGCGAAGGCGACACCCUGGACCGAUACUGACACUGAGGCGCGAAAGCGUGGGUAGCGAAC
rnacentral:rRNA from 1 species